rnacentral:lncRNA from 1 species
UGAGAAGAAAUUUAGAUCUAGUUUUCAAUUUGCAUUGAUUUAGGAUUUUUGACAAUUGGGUGUUGAAUGGUGAAAUUGAUUUGAGAUUUGGGUUCCUUAUGCAAAAUCGAGUCAGAUGGCGUGAACGGCACUUGGUUCUGGGCAUCUGCGACUUUCCGGCCACCGUAUACGGCGGCAUUCCGGUGACCGGCCGGCGAGACUCGAGCGAGGACUCCGAGAGGCAGAAUGAUCUCCUCUUC